rnacentral:rRNA from 1 species
GGAAUCUUUCACAAUGGGCGAAAGCCUGAUGGAGCAACGCCGCGUGCAGGAUGAAGGCCUUCGGGUUGUAAACUGCUUUUAUAGUUGAGAAAUAUGAUGGUAAGCUAUGAAUAAGGAUCGGCUAACUACGUGCCAGCAGCCGCGGUCAUACGUAGGAUCCGAGCAUUAUCCGGAGUGACUGGGUGUAAAGAGUUGCGUAGGUGGCAUAGUAAGUAGAUAGUGAAAUCUGGUGGCUCAACCAUUCAGACUAUUAUCUAAACUGCUAAGCUCGAGAACGUUAGGGGUAGCUGGAACUUCUAGUGUAGGAGUGAAAUCCGUAGAUAUUAGAAAGAACACCGAUAGCGUAGGCAGGCUACUGGGGCGUUUCUGACACUAAGGCACGAAAGCGUGGGGAGCAAACG